UACGUAGGUGGCAAGCGUUGUCCGGAAUUACUGGGCGUAAAGGGCGCGUAGGCGGUGUGUCAAGUCAGGCGUGAAAGCCCCGGGCUCAACCUGGGAACCGCGCUUGAGACUGGCACGCUCGAGUUCGGGAGAGGAUGGUGGAAUUCCCAGUGUAGAGGUGAAAUGCGCAGAUAUCAGGAAGAACACCCGUGGCGAAGGCGGCUCUCUGGUACGUGACUGACGCUGAGACGCGAAAGCGUGGGGAGCAAACAGG
rnacentral:rRNA from 1 species